rnacentral:piRNA from 1 species
GAUUGGACUUUAAGACCUGACACAGGCCUU